AGUGAACGCUGGCGGUAGGCCUAACACAUGCAAGUCGAACGGCAGCACAGUAAGAGCUUGCUCUUACGGGUGGCGAGUGGCGGACGGGUGAGGAAUACAUCGGAAUCUACUUUUUCGUGGGGGAUAACGUAGGGAAACUUACGCUAAUACCGCAUACGACCUACGGGUGAAAGCAGGGGAUCUUCGGACCUUGCGCGAUUGAAUGAGCCGAUGUCGGAUUAGCUAGUUGGCGGGGUAAAGGCCCACCAAGGCGACGAUCCGUAGCUGGUCUGAGAGGAUGAUCAGCCACACUGGAACUGAGACACGGUCCAGACUCCUACGGGAGGCAGCAGUGGGGAAUAUUGGACAAUGGGCGCAAGCCUGAUCCAGCCAUACCGCGUGGGUGAAGAAGGCCUUCGGGUUGUAAAGCCCUUUUGCUGGGAAAGAAAAGCAGCAGGUUAAUACCCCGCUGUCCUGACGGUACCCAAAGAAUAAGCACCGGCUAACUUCGUG
rnacentral:rRNA from 1 species